rnacentral:rRNA from 1 species
GCGGAGGAAAAGAAACCAACAGGGAUUGCCCCAGUAAUGGCGAAUGAAGCGGCAAGAGCCCAAAUUUGAAAUCGGGCAACCGAGUUGUAAUUUGGAGACGGGACACUAGAGAGGAGGAAGGCGAUUAAGUGCCUUGGAACAGGCUGCCGUAGAGGGUGAGAGCCCCGUGAAUCGCUGGAGACCGAUCAAUUAGUGCCCGCCGAAGAGUCGAGUUGUUUGGGAAUGCAGCUCUAAGUGGGUGGUAUAUUCCAUCUAAGGCUAAAUAUUAGCGAGAGACCGAUAGCAAACAAGUACAGUGAUGGAAAGAUGAAAAGAACUUUGGAAAGAGAGUGAAAUAGUACGUGAAAUUGUUGAAAGGGAAGGGUAUUUGAUCCGACAUGGUGUUUAGCAGCGGCCCGUUCCUCGUGGAUGGGUGCACCUGGUUUACACUGGGCCAGCAUCGGUUCUGGGAGCCAUAUACGGGGUUCGUGAAUGUGGCCCUUCGAUUCUGUCGGAGGGUGUUAUAGCGCGGACAUCUUGUGGCUAGCCGGGACCGGGGACUGCGGUGACUUGUCACCAAGGAUGCUGGCAGAACGAGCAAAUACCACCCGUCUUG